CUUCCUUAUUGAAGUUUAAUUUAUGUCAAUGCUAUCUUAGUUUCAGGUAUAAAACAUAGUGAUACAACAUUUAUAUAUAUAUUUAUUUUCUUUUCUUUUUUUGUCUUUUUAGGCUGUACCUGUGGGAUAUGAAAGUUUCCAGGCUAGGCGUUGAAUCAGAGCUGUAGCUGCCAGCCUACAACAUAGCUACAGCAAUGCAAGGUCCAAACCAUGUCUGUGACCUAUACCACAGCUCUUGGCAAUGCCAGAUCCUUAACCCACUGUGAAAGGCCAGGGAUCAAACCUGCAUCCUAAUGGAUGCUAGUCAGACUCGUUUCUGCUGAGCCAUGACAGGAACGCCAUAUAUAUAUAUUUUUUUUUCUCAAAGAAACAAGUUUUUCAGUCUGGGUGGGCCACAUAUUAGCUGUUAGAGCUGUACAGCUCUGCUGUUAUAGUAUAAUAGAAGCCAUAGAUAUUACAUAAAUGAAUGGGUUUGGCUGUGUUCCAAUGACAUUUUAUUUGCAAAAUGAGGAGGCUGGGGCCUGUAGACCUUAGUUUAUCAAUUCCUGGGCUAUGUUGACUUGUGUAACAAACAUUCCCCAAAUCUCAGUGAUCCAAAACAUCAAAGAUUUAUUUCAGUCAUUUCCUUUUUCAUGUUACAUGUUAAUUUUAGAUUUAUCAGAGGGCUUCUACUCAUCUUAGUUACUCAGAGACCCAAGUUAAGUGAACUUGUUACCAUUCAAAUAGAAAAGAAUGCUCUGGUAAUUAAGUGUUUGCUUUAGAAGAGAUACUCAUCACUUCCAUUCAUUACUCAUUAGCCAGAACUGGAGGAGGAGAGGGAAUGGGAUAGACUGGGAGUUUAGGGUUGGUAGAUGCAAACUAUCACAUUUAGGAUGGAUAUGCAAUGAGGUCCUGCUGUAGAGUAAAGGGAACUACAUCCAAUCUCUUGGGAUAGACUAUGAUGGAAUACAGUGUAAGAAAAAUAAUGUGUGUGUGUGUAUUACUGGGUCACUUUGCUAUACAGCAGAAAUUGGCACUUUAUAAAUCAACUAUUCUUUAAUUUAAAAAUAAAAGACCAGGACUUCCAGUCGUGGCGCAGUGGUUAACGAAUCCGACUAGGAACCAUGAGGUUGCGGGUUCCGUCCCUGCCCUUGCUCAAGUAAUAUGCUAGCCACAAGCCUAAUCAAUAAGCUCUGGGCACUCUUGAAAUAAAAUUGAGCUUGAAAUAUCCUACUAAGAUUACACACCUUCUAGCUUAAAUGGGAUUAAAAGUCUUCCACACCUUUGCCAAUGAAGACCAUCCAUUGUGCCACUGGGACAGCAGCACUUAUUAGCAAAUCUAUCCUGGUACAAACAUCUGUGUAUGUGUGUUCAUCCAUGUAUGUGUGUGCAGGUGUGUGGGGGCAUAUGUGUGUAUGCACAUGUGAAAAGACAUCUGUCUAGGCAUUAGAUUUAAUCUGGGAAUUCGAUACUCCUGCUACAAUCAUACAAACUUCAUGCUAAGCAUGUACAAUAAGUGGAAGAUACUUAUAGAAAAUCUCUUUUGUAUGUGUAAAUGUAAUGCAUAUUUUAUUUUAAGGCAUCAGCUGGAGUGAUAGCUCCAUAAAGAUAUAAUGAUAUUUCCCUUAUUGAGGAAAGUCGAAUAUUUUUGUCCAACUCACAUGAUUUCAAACUUUGAUUCUGCCAGUUAUUAGCUGUGUAAUAUAGGGUAGGUUUUAGAGCUUCUCUAAGCCUCAAUGAUCCAGUCUGUACAACAAGGGAAAUCAUACUUAACCUUAAGUUUUAUAGUGAGCAUUUUGUGAGAUAAUGUUGAUAAACAAAUUGAAAUGAGAGAGUGCUGAAUAAUGAAUGAUAUUAUAAAAAGAUGUGGCCUGGUUCUCAGGAAUACAAUAGUGUACUUGCUGAGAAAUGACAGACACACACGAAGCAUCAAACCAUGGUAAAAGAGAUAAAUAGCCAAUCAGCAGAGCAUGAAAGAAUAUGACUAAUUGCAUAAUAAAUGUUUUAAGAGGUUAUAGAUGGAAGAACAGAGUGAGCAGGAUUAUAGGAGAAGAUAUUCAGAUCAGGGCCAACUUGAACUGGACCUUGAAGGGCAGGGAAGGGCAAGAAAAGGUGAGCAGGUGAUAACAUGCAGUACAGACAGAGAAGACAGUGGAUAGCCCACUUUGGCUGGAAAGCUGGCUCUGGGGCCUUGUGUAUUUGAAGAUAAGCCUAGAAAGGCUGGCUGGGGUGGGCUAAGAGGCCUUUGAAUGUCAAGCUAAUGCAUCAUAUGGACAACUGAAGGAGACUGUCUUUCCAAUUCAUUUUAAUCUGUUCUAAACCCACAUAAUUCAACAGAUCUAGUUAUCCCUUCUGCCUAUUUAUCAUGUUUUCAAAGUUACCUUGUAUAAGAGGGAAACAAGGGGCCAGAGAUAAGCUAUGGGUACAUCACCUCAUGACUGAUGUUUAGCUCUAGUGAUCAUGUUACUGUGUUCAUCUCCCGCAGACCUUAAGCCCAUGGCUCUUUCCUGCUGCAGUGCUCUGGGUGCCAAUCCUUUUGCAUUUUCUGU
rnacentral:lncRNA from 1 species